GGUUCUUGAGGAUGGGAUAGAUUAGGUGGAGGAUGUUAGUUUGCUAGAGUGUUUAUGUUAGAUUCGUUUUGUUUCCCUUCUGGACUAGAGUUUUAUUAGCUAGUUCUUCUCUGAUCAAUUGGAACUAGGUCAUAGACAUUUCAUACCCGAAAGGUAUAUGAUGAAAUGUCUGAACCAACUAGUGCCAGAGAUUUACAUGCUUAGCCC
rnacentral:lncRNA from 1 species